GGGGGCUGAUAUGAAACUAGACUUAC
rnacentral:piRNA from 1 species